UACGUAGGGGGCAAGCGUUGUCCGGAAUUAUUGGGCGUAAAGAGCGCGUAGGCGGUCCGAUAAGUCGGCUGUGAAAGUCAGGGGCUCAACCCUUGGAAGCCGGCCGAUACUGUCGGACUAGAGUCCGGAAGAGGCGAGUGGAAUUCCCGGUGUAGCGGUGAAAUGCGCAGAUAUCGGGAGGAACACCGGUGGCGAAGGCGGUUCUCUGGGCCUGUUCUGACGCUGAGGAGCGAAAGCGUGGGGAGCGAACAGG
rnacentral:rRNA from 1 species